GAGCACACCUGGCAAAGGAAAUACCAUAUUAUGGUCAUGUAAUUGCUUUUCCCUGGGUGAGGCUUAUCCAUUGUAUUCCUCACAUGCUGUUCCUAGGGUUUCCCCAAACAUGGGUACCUCAAAUGCUUAAUGUGUGGUAUGGGACGAGUAGUUGGGAUACAGACUGGGUUCAAGCUCUCCCUUA
ensembl:snRNA Gm24961 predicted gene, 24961